rnacentral:rRNA from 1 species
UACGUAGGGGGCGAGCGUUAUCCGGAAUUACUGGGUGUAAAGGGAGCGUAGACGGCGAGGUAAGCCUGAAGUGGAAGCCCGCGGCCCAACCGCGGAACUGCUUUGGGAACUGUUUUGCUGGAGUAUGGGAGGGGUAAGCGGAAUUCCUGGUGUAGCGGUGAAAUGCGUAGAUAUCAGGAGGAACAUCGGUGGCGAAAGCGCUUUACUGGACCAUUAUUGACGCUGAGGAACGAAAGCCAGGGGAGCAAAUGGG